rnacentral:rRNA from 1 species
UACAGAGGGGGCAAGCGUUGUUCGGAAUUACUGGGCGUAAAGGGCGCGUAGGCGGCCUUCUAAGUCGAACGUGAAAUCCCUGGGCUCAACCCAGGAACUGCGUCCGAUACUGGUUGGCUUGAAUUCGGGAGAGGGAUGUGGAAUUCCAGGUGUAGCGGUGAAAUGCGUAGAUAUCUGGAGGAACACCGGUGGCGAAGGCGGCAUCCUGGACCGAUAUUGACGCUGAUGCGCGAAAGCCAGGGGAGCAAACGGG